UACGGAGGGUGCGAGCGUUGUCCGGAAUCACUGGGCGUAAAGGGCGCGUAGGCGGCGCGGAUAGUCGGCGGUGAAAGCCCGGAGCUCAACUCCGGGGUCGGCCGUCGAUACUUCCGGGCUUGAGCACUGUAGAGGCAGAUGGAAUUCCGGGUGUAGCGGUGGAAUGCGUAGAGAUCCGGAAGAACACCGGUGGCGAAGGCGGUCUGCUGGGCAGUUGCUGACGCUGAUGCGCGACAGCG
rnacentral:rRNA from 1 species